UACGUAGGGUGCGAGCGUUGUCCGGAAUUAUUGGGCGUAAAGAGCUCGUAGGCGGCCUGUUGCGUCUGCUGUGAAAGCCCGGGGCUUAACCCCGGGUCUGCAGUGGAUACGGGCAGGCUAGAGUUCGGCAGGGGAGACUGGAAUUCCUGGUGUAGCGGUGAAAUGCGCAGAUAUCAGGAGGAACACCGGUGGCGAAGGCGGGAUCCUGGGCCAGUACUGACGCUGAGGAGCGAAAGCGUGGGGAGCAAACAGG
rnacentral:rRNA from 1 species